GUUUAUUUUUGAGAGAGAGAGAGAGAGGCAGAGGUAGGGACAGAAUCCGAAGCAGGCUCCUGGCUCUGAGCUGUCAGCACAGAUCCCGACGCGGGGCUCCAACUCACGAACCGUGAGAUCAUGACCUAAGCCGAAGUUGGACACUUAACCGACUGAGCCACCCAGGUGCCCCUAGACUACGUAGAUAUUUUCAUCAAUUAACCUGAGGCGUUCUUCCUAAGCGGGCACUAUCUAAUUACCUGCUUGGUUCCUUCUGUUUGAGACAGUGCCAAACGAUUGCUUCCUCCUUGCAAGGUCGCCUUUUCUGACUGGUGUUCAUUAAUUCAUCGAGCAAAUUACGGAACAGGCCCUACGUGAUGAGUCUUUGCUAAAGGACUGAUGGAGCAGUGAAGAUGUGAAGCCUCGUGAAUUAUUGGAGCUCCUUUGUGUCAGUCAGUGGUUUGGGACCAGUGACAUUCAGGGAUGUGGCCGUAGCCUUCUCUCAGCAGAAGUGGGAGAGUCUGAAUUCUGCUCACAGGGACUUAUACAGAGAUGUGAUGUUGGAGAACUGUAGUAACUUGGUCUCACUGGCACCCUGUUUCAUUUGGAGGUUCCACCGAGAUUCUAUGACCACCCAAGAUUCGGAGGCUGAAGCGGAACAGCUAGGGAAGAGCUCUGAGAGACGUUCCUCGGCCCCGGCCUUCCGUUCUCAGACCUGGCUUAAAAGUAAGGUAUGCGAGGUGGCGCCUGUUUUCUGUUACUGGCCAGAUCUGAUUCUAGGAGGGAAGGCUGGACGCGGCUUAACUUCCCCCUAGCUGGUGUCUGGUGGAGACGUCCCCAGCACCCUCUGGGUCCCCGGACCAUCCGGGUCUUCGGACUGUCUGGGUUGGGCUUGAUCACCCCAACCAUUUGCUCUACGUUCAGUGCUCUGUGUGCCCUGUUAAACGCUUCCUGUUAACCUAUCAUUAUCUCUGGCAUGACCCACUGUUUAACCUCCGUCAUGGGUCAGUCUUUGUCCGAGCCUUGCUCCCCCUUAAAUGCAUGCUAAAUAACUUCUCUGGUUUCAGAAAAAGAGGAAGGACCUAUGGCUGUAACCUAAAGCCAUCCUGGCUGCGGACAUAUUGCCAACUGGACUGGCUGACAUUCUCUGGGGUUGACUGGCCCCCAGAGGGCUCCUAGAAUCUUAACCUUGCUUAUGCUGUCCGCAGGAUUUGUCACGAUGUUCAUCCCCACCAGGAGCCAUAUGCUGUGACUUGGGUCGACCUCCUAGAAGACCCACCUUCCUGGCUGAGAGAGUGCCAGAAACAGGGCCAAAAGCUGUCAUCCGGCAUCUCCCUUUCCCACUCCCCUUCCUGUUCUCCUCCAAACUCCAAACCCUUGCUUCCUGUCACUUAGCCUCCAAAGAGGCUUUACCCGGUGCUUCAGGAGAUACCCAAGGGAGGGACUUGUUAUCCGAUCCUUAGAGACCAGCUCCUUAUCCCCAGACUCCACUAGCUCCCCAGGAACCAAAAGCCGCAGGUGACCCUUUGACUAGUCCCCCACACACCAGAUCAGGAGCCCUCUGUAGAGGAGAACACCAGUCCUCUGAUGCCCCAGUUCCCAUCCUUCCUCUUAGGCAAAUGGCUCCGGCCCCUGGUCCAGAUGGGCAGCCAACACACCGGAAGCUUGUCUACACUCCUUUCUCCACCACGGACCUCUAUAACUGGAAAACUCAGAACCCGCCUUUCUCUGAAAACCCCCAGGGCCUAAUUGACUUAUUGAGCUCUAUUUUCACCACUCACUUACCUACUUGGGAAGAUUGUCACCAACUCUUGCAGGUCUUACUGACUUCCGAGGAAAGGGCCCAAGUGCUCCGGGAAGCAACGAGAGCAGUCCUUGGCCCGGAUGGAAUGCCUACCACAGACCUUCGCAGAACUGAGCAUGUUUUCCCUUCCGCACCGCCCCAGCGGGACCCUAACACGGAUAAUGGAUGAGAAAGAUCCAGUCUGCAAACCACACAUGCCAGAGAAUUUGGGGGAGAUUACCAUCACCUGCAGAUGGAACCAAACGAUGAGAAAACUUGUGACACGUUCCAAGUGCUGAAAGGGGAAAGUGAGAUUUUCAGUCGAAGGAUGAGACAGCAAUAAAGAAAUGCCCACCCUUGAGAAAUAUACAUCUUUUGCUUUACAUCCGAGAAUUCUUAAUGGAGAGCAAUCAUAUGAAUAUCAGGAAUGUGGGAAGACUUUUUGUCAGUACUCAAACCCUGUUCAACGUGAGAGAACACAUUCUAGUGAAAAACCCUACAAAUACAAAGAAUGUGGGAAGAACUUUAGUGAUAGACAUCGGCUCACUGUACAUCAGAGAUUUCAUACUGCAUUUCCUACGGUGUCCAGUACACCAGUGUUGAAUAGAGCCGAUGAAAAUGGACAUCCUUGGCUUUUGUCCAAUCUUGAGGGAAG